GGGUUUUUGAGGGGGUGCGUGUGCAUAAUGAGGUUGCGGAGGUGGAGGAGUUGGGUUAUAUACUUGUUGAGGUUGGUCAUUCCUCCACCUGAAAUUUGGAUGGUUCUUCCAUCCAGGGUUGUAAGUACCCGAAAAAGGAUUAUUAAAAGAUUUUUGAUAUGUAUUCAUAACAUUGGCCUGAUCGUGCAAGACUUCCUUGAAUGCGGAUAUUGUGGGGCAAUCAGUGG
rnacentral:lncRNA from 1 species